GAGAGAAUAUUGGGUGAGUAUUUGGACGCCAGAAGGUCAGGCCCCUUUUUGACCCACCCUUUUCACCCCCCAUGUCUAUAUUUAUGGUCUGGUCUCAUCUCAUGUAAAGAACAACAGCAGGAGCAGAGCAUCACAUUUGGUCCUCAGCGUGAAGGCCGUCGGUGAGUCCGCGCGCUCCAGCUUUCCCACUGCGUCUCUCUUCUGUUUCUCCGUGAAUAUUCCGGCUUUCCUCAUUUGCAUCUGCUAAUUAGAUCCUGUUAGCAUCAUUUUGUGCACGACGUCCCUCUACAGCCCAUGAAUGAAUACAUCCACUUGUAAGAAACAUCACGAUGAUGUUAAAGAUAUUAAUUGACGUUUCUCGGACAAACCAUUUAAUUUGUUGGAGAUAUUCACCUUGUUUCAUUAAACUGUCUGACAGGAUAGUGAGCAAUAGAAAGUGACGAUGAAGCCUGAAGCAGAGUUAAAGGAACAACGCACCCAAAAAUGAACAUCUUGGGCUUCUGCGCGUGUAAGCGGCCGAGCUCGCAGCGAAGCGUUCGUUCAGUAAUGAGGAACAGAAGAGCUGCAGACUAAAGAGAAGAUUUGAGACAAAAUAAAGAAACAUACAAGAGAAAAUCAGAAAAUGGAUUCUGAAAGCUUCUGUCUUGUGUGCCUGAUCCCAUUCAAAGCAGUCAGAUGGUCUUCAUCCUCCAUCAUCAUCAUCCUCUUGCCCUGCUCUUCUGUUAACACGUGUCAUCUGGAGCGUGUAAUGAAGAGAAGCUGUGAUAUGUCUGAGCGAGAGAGGAGCUUUUCUCUUAAUGAAUACAGAAAACACCACGACUCAAUGGACUUCAUCUUUUCUUCGUGCCUCGUACGAAACAUCAGACCGCCGCUGAAGAUCAGACCAUGUGAUUCGGCCUCUUAUUAAAGCACAUAAAGCACAAGAGAAAGUCAUUUCGUUCUCCUGGGCCUUCUGCCACUUUUUUUACGGGCCGCUUUUAUGGAGCUCAUAAUUAUUUCGGUGAGCACCCUUGAGUACAAACCCGGGAGUCUUUGUAUCUUUUUGACAUUUUUCAAAGUAAAUGGAUGUCAUAUUAACAUUUCUGUUUCAACAAGACACAUUUUUACCUAAACCUCUUAGUUGAUCAGCUUCACUAAAAUUCUUGUCUAUUAAUUCUUCUUAGAAACCGUUCUACAAAUGACAUGAAAUGCUUUCGAUUGAUUAUUUUCGUGAGCUGUAUAAUUAUUCCUUUGUUUCUUUAUAGAACCAAAAGAUAGAGGAAAUUUGUAAGCAGUAUUAAAAAACUGAAUCAAAUUUAAAGCUAAAGUGGAAAACUUUUUAGUGUGAAAUGAAACUCUAAUGUCUAACUCUCGAGUUCAAGAGAGGUCAACACCACAGACUUUCACCUGAAAACACUUUAAAUAUGUGAGAUAAAAACUAAAACUUGACUUAAACAACAAAGCAGGUGGUGGCCUAAGACUUUUGCACAGUGUAGUAUUUGCAUGAUUUUCUAUAAAAUAGUUACUUUUUGUCACAAGUUUUUAUGAUUUAUAUGGCAUUUGAAAUAAAACUAAAUGACAGGCACAAUUUCCUCCAAACAGAUUUUACAUUUGAUUUUCCAGAGAAGCAAACAUUUGUUAAAGCAAGAAGCGUGAAGAGACGUGAUGUAGUUUGACUGCUGACGUCUCAGAUGCUGAGGAUGAGAUGAAAAGGUCCCAAGGCUCCGCUGGUGUCAACCUUAUUUGUGCUUUUAUUUUGAAAUCGAGCUUUGUUGAUGCUGAUACGUUUAUGCCCAGGAGUUACAUCAUCACACCUGUUAACAUAGCAGGCAAAUAUAAUCUGACACGACCGGUGAAGAUCUGUUCAUAAAACUCACUUGAGAGAAAAUAAAAACAAAGCCUGACAUCUUACCCUUACAAAAAUUAACUGUGGAUUUACUACAGUAAAAAAAAACAUGGCUACCACAAAAUAAUCAAUACACCAUCAAAAUACCAUGGUUACUACACUUUAAUCACAAAAAACAUGGUUCAUUUUUCGUAAGAGUAGCAUUGAGUAGCAACGGGUUGGUAUGUAUGGUCGGCUUGCGUUUUUCGCGCUUUUGUGUGUCUUGUGAAUAGUAUGCCAUACAGACCCGUUUGCCACUGAACCUGCAUUAACGACGACAGUGGGGCUUUAGGCCUUAGUCAAACGGGUCGUCAGGUUUCAUUUUCUCUUAAAGAUCGGAAGGUGACCUUUAUUUACCAUAUAUACCCUCGUAUUGGGCCCCCAAUUUGCUAAAUCCUCAACUGUGGAUAAUAUAAUUAUGCCGCAAUAGUUAGUCUGUCUGGAACUAAGCUGAGUUAAACCACAUCACUGUGUGACACUUCAAUACAUAUGAACGGCCGCUACGCUAAUACGAUUUUGUUUUUCUCUCCCUGUCUCGUCCUCGACCCGAGGACAACGAGACAAACAGACCCAGUCCCGGUAGAUGUGAAAGUCGGCACACCUCUGAUCUACUGGCUGUCCUUCAACGUGAUGCCCAACUGAUGCCUGACCAACGAACACCGGCAGAACCUGCUUAAUCUCUGCUAAAUCUCCUUAUCCGUUCUCCCAAGGGUUUUUCCCUCCUAGGACUUAUUUUUCUUAGAGUUUUUUUUCUCCUAGGGGGUUUUUCACCCCGGGGAGGCAGCCUUUUUGGG